UGCAAGUCGAACGUGAAGAGAUAGCAAUAUCUCUGAAAGUGGCGGACGGGUGAGUAACACGUGGGUGACCUGCCUCGGAGCGGGGGAUAACCAUGGGAAACUGUGGCUAAUACCGCAUGGUCCUAUAACAAUGGGAAUUGUAAUAGGUAAAGCUCUGGCACUCCGAGAGGGGCCUGCGUCCGAUUAGGUAGUUGGUGGGGUAAUGGCCUACCAAGCCGAUGAUCGGUAGCUGGUCUGAGAGGACGAUCAGCCACACGGGAACUGAGAUACGGUCCCGACUCCUACGGGGGGCAGCAGUGAGGAAUAUUGGGCAAUGGGCGCAAGCCUGACCCAGCAACGCCGCGUGGAGGAUGAAGGUCCUUGGAUUGUAAACUCCUUUUAUGGGGGAAGAGACAGGACGGUACCCCAAGAAUAAGUCACGGCUAACUACGUGCCAGCAGCCGCGGUAAUACGUAGGUGACAAGCGUUAUCCGGAAUUACUGGGCGUAAAGCGCACGCAGGCGGCCUAUUAAGUCUGACGUGAAAUCUCUCGGCUUAACCGAGAGAGGUCGUUGGAAACUGAUUGGCUUGAGGUAAUGAGAGGGGUGUGGAAUUCCCGGUGUAGUGGUGGAAUGCGUAGAUAUCGGGAGGAACAUCAGUGGCGAAAGCGGCACCCUGGCAUUUGCCUGACGCUCAUGUGCGAAAGCGUGGGGAGCGAACGGGAUUAGAUACCCCGGUAGUCCACGCUGUAAACGAUGAAUACUAGGUGUGGGUGGUCUCAAAUCGUCCGUGCCGAAGCAAACGCGAUAAGUAUUCCGCCUGGGGAGUACGGCCGCAGGGCUAAAACUCAAAGA
rnacentral:rRNA from 1 species